AUAUUUUUUCUAAUUUUUCCCAUUUUUCUCUCAUUUUUUCCCAUUUUUCCCCUCAUUUUUUCCCCAUUUUCCCCUUCAUUUUCCUCCCAUUUUUUCUCUCAUUUUCCCCUCAUUUUUCUUCUAAUUUUUCCCAUUUUUCCCUCAUUUUUCCCCAUUUUCCCCUUCAUUUUUUCCCAUUUUUUCCUAAUUUUUCCCAUUUUCCCCUCAUUUUUUCCCAUAUUUUUUCUGAUUUUUUCCCUCAUUUUUUCCUCUUUUUCCCCCUCAUUUUUCCCCUCAUUUUUCACUUUUUACUCUCAUUUUCCCCUCAUUUUUCCUCUCAUUUUUAACUGUUUUUUCUGAUUUUUUUCCCCUCAUUUUUCCCCAUUUUAUUUCCUCAGGACGACGCCAUUUCUGCCAUCUUCUCCCCCCCGGACGCCAUUUUGUCCCCUCAGGCCGGGGGGGGGGGGGGGGGGGGGGGGGGGGGGGGGGGGGGGGGGGGCGCCAUUUUGUCCCCCCCAAACACCCAAAACUCCUCAAAUUUACCCUCCCAAAAUCCCAUUUCACCCCCCCAAAAUCCCAUUUCACCCUCCCAAAAUCCCAUUUUACCCUCCCAAAAUCCC
rnacentral:lncRNA from 12 species